UAAUUAAUUUAAAUAUAUACAAAGCGAAGAAGUAAAAUUUAUUGUAACAACAAAGAUAUGCAUAGUGAUGGGGUAACUGGAAUGAGAUGUUUCUAGUUUUAGGUGUAUCCAGAAGACAAUAAUCAAUAAUUAUAUGGGUACGUGUGAAAGCUUCUGACCACUUGACAACAUUUCGUUGUGUAUUGAGCCCUUCAAACGAUGAGUCAUUAUUUUUGUUAUUGUAUAGUCAAAUCAAUAUUUAACUCGAACAUGAAACACCGCCAUCUCCGUUUAAUAUUUAACUACUCCCUUUGUUCCCGAAUAAGAUUUUUUAGAUUUUUUCUUGUUUCAUAAAAAUAG
rnacentral:lncRNA from 1 species